GCCAAAUAGGAAAACACAACGACAUUAACUUCUAACGGAAAAGGUAGGGCCUAUCUAGCAGAGGACGGAACGGAACCUCCUGAUUGGACAGAAGGACCGCCUGUCUUUUAACAGGAAGGAGGGGUGAAAAACACGGAAAAGCGCCUAUUUUCAAAACAUGAGUACUCCCGAAGGUACUUUCGCUAUUAUAAUGAAUUAUUUUGAUGCAGGGCAUACAUACGACGUGGUAGUUGAUAUGUUGUCAACCAAUCACAACAUCAGGAUGAUUAUACGCAUGGGUUGUACAGAAGGAACAACUAUUCACAACUGGAUGAGGUGAGACGUGCCAUCCUUACAGAGCUGCAUGGACCAGGGCAACUAUUCCGCUAUCGGACUAUGUGGCAAGUACAGCAAAAACACAAGCUACGUAUUAAACGACACACAGUGAUGAGACUGCUGAAGCAACUAAAUCCACAAGGAACGGAUGCGAGAACACUACAGACCAUGGGACUGAAAAUGGCACCAUGGCUGCAAUACAGUGUACCCUCAGACACGAGCAUACAGACUGCGGCCGCUUAUAAGUGUAAUUGUGUUACAGCAAAAAGUGUUCAUCUGCCAAAAACUGAUUUCAGUCAAAUAAAAAAGUAUUGCAGCAGGGCUCAAUUUUGGAUGGACCUGUUUGGAGACCUGAGAGACUCUGGACACUUUAAUGGCAGCCAUGAACUUAAGGACUUAUUGAGAUUCUGCUUCAAUAAUGUUCUGCAAAAAGACCUGGAUGAGAGCACAGACCUCUGGAAUAAGCACAGGAUUAGACUCUCCAGACAUGCAUCAUGUCCUGGGGGAACUACAGACGAACUCUAUCUCUUACCUCAUAUAUCAACUGACAAGACUUGACUAUAUCCAUUCUCACAAAAAUAUGUUUGGUUCAAAGGACUGGAUACGUUUCCAGAGUCAAGGCAAACUCUUCAUUCAUGCAGUGAUCCAGACAUCCAGGAUUAUCUUCAACAGACUGUUGAGCGAAAUGGAUUACAGCAGCCACAUAAUUGGGAGUCAGCCUCAGAACUUUAUGUCACCUUGAAAGAAAUAGCUGGCCUAUAAAUAUGGUCUACUGCAGCCCACUCUUAAAGGCCAGAUGUUAAAGGAAAACAUUCUCAAAUGUGGCUUAGCUGUUU